rnacentral:rRNA from 1 species
UACGUAGGGGGCAAGCGUUGUUCGGAAUCAUUGGGCGUAAAGAGCGUGUAGGCGGUCAGAUAAGGCCUCUGUGAAAUCUCGAGGCUCAACUUCGAGCUGUCGGUGGAAACUGUCUGGCUAGAGUCCGGAAGAGGAGAAUGGAAUUCCUGGUGUAGCGGUGAAAUGCGCAGAUAUCAGGAAGAACACCCGUGGCGAAGGCGGUUCUCUGGGACGGUACUGACGCUGAGACGCGAAAGCGUGGGGAGCGAACAGG